UACGAAGGGGGCUAGCGUUGCUCGGAAUCACUGGGCGUAAAGCGCACGUAGGCGGCUUUUUAAGUCAGGGGUGAAAUCCUGGAGCUCAACUCCAGAACUGCCUGUGAUACUGGGAAGCUUGAGUCCGGGAGAGGUGAGUGGAACUCCGAGUGUAGAGGUGAAAUUCGUAGAUAUUCGCAAGAACACCAGUGGCGAAGGCGGCUCACUGGCCCGGUACUGACGCUGAGGCACGAAAGCGUGGGGAGCAAACAGG
rnacentral:rRNA from 1 species